GGGGCUGCCUUGGUUUCGACAUUUAAGGAUUGUUAAAGUAUGAUGCAGGUCGAAGUUGGUAUUCUUCGUAAAAAGGCCAAAAAUUAAAAUAAAUGCUAACAGUAUUAUCUCUUUUAUCUUCAA
rnacentral:sRNA from 1 species